rnacentral:ncRNA from 2 species
UCCGUAGGUGAACCUGCGGAAGGAUCAUUACCUAGAGUUGUAGGCUUUGCCUGCUAUCUCUUACCCAUGUCUUUUGAGUACCUUACGUUUCCUCGGUGGGUUCGCCCACCGAUUGGACAAAUUUAAACCCUUUGCAGUUGAAAUCAGCGUCUGAAAAAACUUAAUAGUUACAACUUUCAACAACGGAUCUCUUGGUUCUGGCAUCGAUGAAGAACGCAGCGAAAUGCGAUAAGUAGUGUGAAUUGCAGAAUUCAGUGAAUCAUCGAAUCUUUGAACGCACAUUGCGCCCCUUGGUAUUCCAUGGGGCAUGCCUGUUCGAGCGUCAUUUGUACCUUCAAGCUCUGCUUGGUGUUGGGUGUUUGUCUCCUGUAGACUCGCCUUAAAACAAUUGGCAGCCGGCGUAUUGAUUUCGGAGCGCAGUACAUCUCGCGCUUUGCACUCAUAACGACGACAUCCAAAAGUACAUUUUUACACUCUUGACCUCGGAUCAGGUAGGGAUACCCGCUGAACUUAAGCAUAUCAAUAAGCGGAGGA